UGGGGAAUAUUGCACAAUGGGGGAAACCCUGAUGCAGCGACGCCGCGUGAACGAAGAAGGUAUUCGUAUCGUAAAGUUCUGUCCUAUGGGAAGAUAAUGACAGUACCAUAGAAGAAAGCUCAGGCUAAAUACGUGCCAGCAGCCGCGGUAAUACGUAUGGAGCGAGCGUUGUCCGGAAUUAUUGGGCGUAAAGGGUACGCAGGCGGUUUAAUAAGUCGAAUGUUAAAGAUCGGGGCUCAACCCCGCAAAGCAUUGGAAACUGAUAAACUUGAGUAGUGGAGAGGAAAGUGGAAUUCCUAGUGUAGUGGUGAAAUACGUAGAUAUUAGGAGGAAUACCAGUAGCGAAGGCGACUUUCUGGACACAAACUGACGCUGAGGUACGAAAGCGUGGGGAGCAAACAGG
rnacentral:rRNA from 1 species